rnacentral:rRNA from 1 species
UUCGGGGUACUCGAGUGGCGAACGGGUGAGUAACACGUGGGUGAUCUGCCCUGCACUUUGGGAUAAGCCUGGGAAACUGGGUCUAAUACCGAAUAGGACCACGCGCUUCAUGGUGUGUGGUGGAAAGCUUUUGCGGUGUGGGAUGGGCCCGCGGCCUAUCAGCUUGUUGGUGGGGUAAUGGCCUACCAAGGCGACGACGGGUAGCCGGCCUGAGAGGGUGACCGGCCACACUGGGACUGAGAUACGGCCCAGACUCCUACGGGAGGCAGCAGUGGGGAAUAUUGCACAAUGGGCGCAAGCCUGAUGCAGCGACGCCGCGUGAGGGAUGACGGCCUUCGGGUUGUAAACCUCUUUCAAUAGGGACGAAGCGNGAGUGACGGUACCUAUAGAAGAAGCACCGGCCAACUACGUGCCAGCAGCCGCGGUAAUACGUAGGGUGCGAGCGUUGUCCGGAAUUACUGGGCGUAAAGAGCUCGUAGGUGGUUUGUCGCGUUGUUCGUGAAAACUCACAGCUUAACUGUGGGCGUGCGGGCGAUACGGGCAGACUAGAGUACUGCAGGGGAGACUGGAAUUCCUGGUGUAGCGGUGGAAUGCGCAGAUAUCAGGAGGAACACCGGUGGCGAAGGCGGGUCUCUGGGCAGUAACUGACGCUGAGGAGCGAAAGCGUGGGGAGCGAACAGGAUUAGAUACCCUGGUAGUCCACGCCGUAAACGGUGGGUACUAGGUGUGGGUUCCUUCCUUGGGAUCCGUGCCGUAGCUAACGCAUUAAGUACCCCGCCUGGGGAGUACGGCCGCAAGGCUAAAACUCAAAGGAAUUGACGGGGGCCCGCACAAGCGGCGGAGCAUGUGGAUUAAUUCGAUGCAACGCGAAGAACCUUACCUGGGUUUGACAUGCACAGGACGCCGGCAGAGAUGUCGGUUCCCUUGUGGCCUGUGUGCAGGUGGUGCAUGGCUGUCGUCAGCUCGUGUCGUGAGAUGUUGGGUUAAGUCCCGCAACGAGCGCAACCCUUGUCCUAUGUUGCCAGCGGGUUAUGCCGGGGACUCGUAGGAGACUGCCGGGGUCAACUCGGAGGAAGGUGGGGAUGACGUCAAGUCAUCAUGCCCCUUAUGUCCAGGGCUUCACACAUGCUACAAUGGCCGGUACAAAGGGCUGCGAUGCCGUGAGGUGGAGCGAAUCCUUUCAAAGCCGGUCUCAGUUCGGAUCGGGGUCUGCAACUCGACCCCGUGAAGUCGGAGUCGCUAGUAAUCGCAGAUCAGCAACGCUGCGGUGAAUACGUUCCCGGGCCUUGUACACACCGCCCGUCACGUCAUGAAAGUCGGUAACACCCGAAGCCGG